UACAGAGGGUGCGAGCGUUAAUCGGAAUUACUGGGCGUAAAGCGCGCGUAGGCGGUUAGAUAAGUCAGAUGUGAAAUCCCCGGGCUCAACCUGGGAACUGCACCUGAUACUGUUUGACUAGAGUUUGGGAGAGGGAAGUAGAAUUUCAGGUGUAGCGGUGAAAUGCAUAGAGAUCUGAAGGAAUACCAGUGGCGAAGGCGACUUCCUGGCCUAAAACUGACGCUGAGGUGCGAAAGCGUGGGUAGCAAACGGG
rnacentral:rRNA from 1 species